UACCAGGUCCAGACAUAGCAAGGAUUGACAGACUAAGAGCUCUUUCUUGAUUCUAUGGGUGGUGGUGCAUAGCCGUUCUUAGUUGGUGGAGCGAUUUGUCUGGUUAAUUCCUUUAACGAACGAGACCUCAGCCUGCUAACUAGCUAUGCGGAGCCAUCCCUCCGCGGCUAGCUUCUUAGAGGGACUAUCGCCGUUUAGGCGACAGAAGUUUGAGGCAAUAACAGGUCUGUGAUGCCGUUAGAUGUUCUGG
rnacentral:rRNA from 16 species